rnacentral:rRNA from 1 species
GAUGAACGCUAGCGGCAGGCCUAAUACAUGCAAGUCGAACGGUAAGUAAGGUAGCAAUACUUUACCAAGAGUGACGCACGGGUGCGUAACACGUAUGCAACCUACCCUUUACAGGCGGAUAGCUCGGGGAAACUCGAAUUAACCCGCCAUAAUAUAAUUGGAUGGCAUCAUUUGAUUAUUAAAUCUGCGGAGGUAAAGGAUGGGCAUGCGUCUGAUUAGUUAGUUGGUAGUGUAACGGACUACCAAGACGAUGAUCAGUAGGGGAACUGAGAGGUUGAUCCCCCACACUGGCACUGAGAUACGGGCCAGACUCCUACGGGAGGCAGCAGUAGGGAAUAUUGGUCAAUGGGUGAGAGCCUGAACCAGCCAUGCCGCGUGCAGGAAGAAGGCCUUCUGGGUUGUAAACUGCUUUUGCCAGGGGAUAAAAAUACCUUGCGAGGUAAAUUGAAGGUACCUGGUGAAUAAGCCACGGCUAACUACGUGCCAGCAGCCGCGGUAAUACGUAGGUGGCAAGCGUUGUCCGGAUUUAUUGGGUUUAAAGGGUGCGUAGGCGGCCCUGUAAGUCAGUGCUGAAAUAUCCCAGCUUAACUGGGAGGGUGGCAUUGAUACUGCGGGGCUAGAGUACAGAUGAGGUAGGCGGA